rnacentral:lncRNA from 1 species
GCAGUUUCCAGCUCUAACAAUGAGAGCUAGGACCCAUGAGGUCUGGGAAAACCUGGGCCUGAAUGUUCCCACUUCAUUUGGAGCUCCUGCCUCAACAACAGCAGCCAAGUUCCCAGGGGGUGCCAGGGAAAUGACUGAAUGAAGAGUUAAAAGACCCAAGUCUCAUCUCCUGCCACCUUAGGUAUCUUCUCUACAAGUGAGGAGUAUAGUAAUACCUAACAUGUCCUUCAUUCAGAUGUUGAAUGUUAACAAUGUGUCCAGUAUUGUUCUAGGGACAGAACAGUAAGCAAAACUAAGCCUUUUCUCUUGCAGAACUCCUCACGGAAGAGAAAAAAUUCUAUAGUGAGAGAAGCUAAACAAUACACAUAUAAACAAGCAAAUACUGCAUGGCGGUAAGCGCCAUGAAGGAAAACAAAACAAGGUAAGAAGUGGCUCUGUGUUACACAAGGUGAUGAGGUAACAGCUCAACACAGGCCUGAAGGAAGAGGGAUCCAUGUACAUAUCUGCAGAAAAUGCCUUCCAGCCAGAGGGAACUGCUUAUGAAAAGUCCCUGAGGCAAAAGCAUGCUUAGCAUAUUUGAGGAAUAGUGGAGAGUCAAUGUGGCUGCAGUGAAGAGAGAGAAGAAAAGUAGUGAGGGCCAGAUCCUGUUGGAAUUUUUAUUUAUUGGUUUAUUUUUAGAAACAGGGUCUCGUUCUCUUCCCCAGACCGGAGUGCAAUGGCACAACCUUUCCUCACUGCAGCCUUGAUCUCCUGGGCUCAAGCGAUUCCCCCACCUCAGCCUCCCGAGUAGCUGGGAUUUCAGAUGUGCACCACCAUGCCCAGGAUCACCAGGAAGAAAAACAAACAAACCAAUAAAGAUUUGGAUAACAAGAGAGAAGUUGAUUGAAAACUGUCAACUCCCUGAAAGUUUUAAACCAGGCAUGAAGCCUCCUGUGUCCCUCAUUCAUCAUGUUUCUGAAGACAGUUGACCUGUUGACUUAAAGACAUCAUUUAAGAGAGUCAGCCAGAACUAAUGACAGUGUGAAGACCUGCUAACCAUGGUGAGUAUUGAGAAAG